rnacentral:rRNA from 1 species
UACGGAGGGGGCUAGCGUUAUUCGGAAUUAUUGGGCGUAAAGGGCGUGUAGGCGGCGUCGUAUGUCCCAUGUGAAAGCCCUCGGCUCAACCGGGGAACUGCACGAGAAACUAUCUGGCUUGAGUGUGGGAGAGGUGAGUGGAAUUCCUGGUGUAGCGGUGAAAUGCGUAGAUAUCAGGAGGAACACCUGUGGCGAAAGCGGCUCACUGGACCACAACUGACGCUGAGGCGCGAAAGCUAGGGGAGCAAACAGG